CCUACGCGCAUGCGCACACUCCACAGAUGUUCAUUGUAAAGCAACGGGUUACGGAACAAACAAGACAGUAAAAUGCGGGAUUAUGCGACUCAUCGCUCGCUGGAAGGGCGAGUCAUAAAGGGGGUCAUAAAACGCCAUAAAAACCAAGACCCGAGACGACGGCCAAGCCGCACCGACAUCCCUCUCCCGGACCCUGUGACACGGGGAGAGGAGGGGACAGAAUCCAGCCGAGGCGGUGACCUUCCCACCACCACGGCCGUUAGCAUCCCUCUUCAGCACCCGGAUCUACCAGGAGGAGGGAACGGAGGCUACGCACUGCAAAUAACGGCGGUAGUCUUUUAGAGUGGCAAACUAAACCGACCUACGCUGGGAGAAGCGAUUUUACAACAAGGAAAGUAAAAUUGCUAUACGAAGCGUUGGAACCUCGUGUAAUUUUACUACAUUUUAGUGACUUUAAAACAUCAUUUUUUACAGUGGCGGAGACAGCCUAGUUCGAGCCGCGCUCCUGAGCACUUCGCAGUUUUUCUGUACCUUUGACACUGAAUAAACGCAAACUUAGAGGUUGUUCUAAGUUCUGCUCACACUUGAAACCCAACGCUAUUUUCUCCCAAACAAGACCUACUAAGAGCAGUCCCUGAUGUGUCCUAACAUAUCUCACGGGCUACUCACCGGGGGUUACGCCGAUUCAAAAGGCGCGCGCUUCACGCUACCAUUUUUCACCAUAAGCGAACGCAUCAUCACAAUUCACACACCAUUUGCAAAUCAAUUCAUAAAUAAGAUGAACACAUUUUUAAUUAUACUGUAGACUGAGAGUUUCUUAAUUAAAAUGCAUUGAAAAUAAAUAAUUGAACUCUAAACUUUU